AUUGAACGCUGGCGGCAUGCUUUACACAUGCAAGUCGAACGGUAACAGGUUAAGCUGACGAGUGGCGAACGGGUGAGUAAUGCAUCGGAACGUGCCCGAUCGUGGGGGAUAACGCAGCGAAAGCUGCGCUAAUACCGCAUACGAUCUGAGGAUGAAAGCGGGGGACCGUAAGGCCUCGCGCGAUCGGAGCGGCCGAUGUCAGAUUAGGUAGUUGGUGGGGUAAAGGCCCACCAAGCCGACGAUCUGUAGCUGGUCUGAGAGGACGACCAGCCACACUGGGACUGAGACACGGCCCAGACGCCGACGGGAGGCAGCAGUGGGGAAUUUUGGACAAUGGGCGAAAGCCUGAUUCAGCCAUUCCGCGUGAGUGAAGAAGGCCUUCGGGUUGUAAAGCUCUUUCGCAAGGGAAGAAAACUUAAGCUCUAACAUAGCUUGAGGUUGACGGUACCUUGAUAAGAAGCACCGGCUAACUACGUGCCAGCCGCCGCAGUAA
rnacentral:rRNA from 1 species